rnacentral:rRNA from 1 species
AACGAACGCUGGCGGCAGGCUUAACACAUGCAAGUCGAGCGCCCCGCAAGGGCAGCGGCAGACUGGUGAGUAACGCGUGGGAACAUACCCUUAUCUUCAGGCUAGCUCCGGGAAACUGGUAUUAAUACCGAAUUUGCCCUUUGGCGGGAUGAUUUAUCGGAUAAGGUUCGGCCCGCGUUGGAUUAGCUGGUGGGUGGGGUAAAGGCCUACCAAGGCGACGAUGCAUAGCUGGUCUGGGAGGAGGAUCAGCUACAAUGGGACUGAGACACGGACCAAACUCGUACGGAAGGGAGCAGAGGGGAAUAUUAGAGAAUGGGGGCAAGCGUGAUCAAGCCAUGCCGGGUGAGAGAUGAAGGGGGUAGGGUAGUAAAGCUGUUUCAGAGGAGAAGAUAGUGACGGUAACCGGAGAAGAAGCACCGGCUAACUUCGUG